CCAGUGAUAACUGGAGAAGGUGGGAUGACGUCAAAUCAUCAUGCCCCUUAUGACCUGGGCUACAAACGUGAUACAAUGGCUGAAACAGAGGGAGGCGAAGGGGUGACCUGGAGCGAAACCCAGAAAAACAGUCUCAGUUCGGAUUGAAGUCUGCAACUCGACUUCAUGAAGUCGGAAUCGCUAGUAAUCGCGGAUCAGAACGCCGCGGUGAAUACGUUCUCGGGUUU
rnacentral:rRNA from 1 species